UGCAAGUCGAGCGGAAGGCCCUUCGGGGUACUCGAGCGGCGAACGGGUGAGUAACACGUGAGCAACCUGCCCCUGACUCUGGGAUAAGCCCGGGAAACUGGGUCUAAUACCGGAUAUGACCGCCCCCGGCAUCGGGUGGUGGUGGAAAGUUUUUCGGUUGGGGAUGGGCUCGCGGCCUAUCAGCUUGUUGGUGGGGUAGUGGCCUACCAAGGCGACGACGGGUAGCCGGCCUGAGAGGGCGACCGGCCACACUGGGACUGAGACACGGCCCAGACUCCUACGGGAGGCAGCAGUGGGGAAUAUUGCGCAAUGGGCGGAAGCCUGACGCAGCGACGCCGCGUGGGGGAUGACGGCCUUCGGGUUGUAAACCUCUUUCAGCAGGGACGAAGUUGACGUGUACCUGCAGAAGAAGCGCCGGCUAACUACGUGCCAGCAGCCCGGGGUAAUUCA
rnacentral:rRNA from 1 species